rnacentral:rRNA from 1 species
GACGAACGCUGGCGGCGUGCUUAACACAUGCAAGUCGAACGGAAAGGCCCUGCUUUUGUGGGGUGCUCGAGUGGCGAACGGGUGAGUAACACGUGAGUAACCUGCCCUUGACUUUGGGAUAACUUCAGGAAACUGGGGCUAAUACCGGAUAGGAGCUCCUGCUGCACGGUGGGGGUUGGAAAGUUUCGGCGGUUGGGGAUGGACUCGCGGCUUAUCAGCUUGUUGGUGGGGUAGUGGCUUACCAAGGCUUUGACGGGUAGCCGGCCUGAGAGGGUGACCGGCCACCUUGGGACUGAGAUACGGCCCAGACUCCUACGGGAGGCAGCAGUGGGGAAUCUUGCACAAUGGGCGGGAGCCUGAUGCAGCAACGCCGCGUGCGGGAUGACCGCCUUCGGGUUGUAAACCGCUUUCGCCUGUAACGAAGAGUGAGUGACGGUAAUGGGUAAAGAAGCACCGGCUAACUACGUG